rnacentral:tRNA from 1 species
AGGUCACGGGCCAGAUCACGCAUGGACUCAAAAUCCGUGUAGUGUCCGUUCGAGUCGGACCGGGG